rnacentral:rRNA from 1 species
UUUCAAGUCAGUCACAUCGGCCAGUAAUCAACCUUGCAAUCUUGCGAGGCUUAUUUUCUGGUUGAUGGGUCAGCAUCAAUUUUGACUGUUAGAGAAAGGCUUGAGGAAUGUGGCAUCUUCGGAUGUGUUAUAGCCUCUGGUCACACAUAAUGGUUGGGAUUGAGGAACUCAGCAUGCCCUUCAGUGGGUUGGAGCUUUUGCUCACGUAACAUGCUUAGGAUGCUGGCAUAAUGGCUUGAACCGA